AGGACGAACGCUGGCGGCGCGCCUCACACAUGCAAGUCGAGCGAGAACCAGGGCUUCGGCCCUGGGGACAGCGGCGAACGGGUGCGUAACACGUGAGCAACCUGCCCCGAAGACCGGGACAAGCCGGGGAAACCUGGUCUAAUACCGGAUGUCCUCUCCUGGUCGCAUGGCCGGGUGAGGAAAUGGAUUCCGCUUCGGGAUGGGCUCGCGGUCUAUCAGCUUGUUGGUGGGGUAACGGCCUACCAAGGCGACGACGGAUAGCUGGUCUGAGAGGACGAUCAGCCACACUGGGACUGAGACACGGCCCAGACUCCUACGGGAGGCAGCAGUGGGGAAUCUUGCGCAAUGGGGGAAACCCUGAACGCAGCGACGCCGCGUGCGGGAUGAAGGCCUUCGGGUUGUAAACCGCUUUCAGCAGGGACGAAAUUGACGGUACCUGCAGAAGAAGGCCCGGCCAACUACGUGCCAGCAGCCGC
rnacentral:rRNA from 1 species